UCUUGUUACUUGUCAAUAGCAUCGGUUCUUUUUUAAUUUUAAAUAGGAAUCUUUGAAAGGCAAUCUGAUUUAUAAAUAUUAAAUUGUGAACUCUAUUAAUUGCAUGGAACUGAAGGUAUCUUGAUUGUUGAAUUAUAUGAAUGUUAGAAUUUUGGCCAAAAACAGAAGCCUUAAUUUGUUUACAGGGAAAUGCAUGAAGGUUUAGAACAUAAAAAGCAAAAUUACUACUUUUGAUGGAAGUUUGAUAAACCGCUGAUUUGAUUAUCUUUGUUAUGAUGGUUUGUUGGCAUUUUUUCCUACCUUCUUUCGUAUAUUUCCUGCAUCUUUCAUUAGCCUGUGGUUGGGUUUGCAAAUUUGUAACAAAAAUUCCCUUAGAGAGAAGAAAUGUAGGACCAGAGAACAUGACUGUAAGGAAAGCUCCCUUCUGAUAGUGCAAUUUUUAUUUUUUCCUUUUAAAGCAUCUUUUAUGCAUCCUUAACUAAAUACCAGGGAUGUGAGUUGGAUAAUUACAUUUCAAUCAAGGAGUUGUAUAUGGCUUUGAGGAAAGGAGAUUUAAUAGUCCUGGGAUCCCUUCUAAUUUGGUUUUUUUAUUUUUAUUUAUGCUUUCGAAGUCCUUACUAAUGUUUUAAUGGUGGGUAAUGGUUACAACAGGGCAGUGAGCUUUAAUAUUAUACCAUGUUGGAGUGGAUCCUUGUGACAGCAGAUCAUCUCAUAAUUUACUGUCUUCUAGCGACUGGAUUUUUAAUGUAUUCCUGUCUUGGUUUCCUCUUACUUGGUUCUCCAUGUCGCGACUGGGGCAUGUUUCCUUUCACUGCACUGAAGGACUUGAGCUAAGAAGGGGACCAAGUUAUGCAGGAUGAUCCUUGGAUGUAUGGUAGGGACACUUGGACAGUGUAUGAACCCUCAGCAGAUGUUUUAUGAUAGUUAUCAGAUUUCCCCAACUUAUGUAGUGUCUUGGUUUUCUGUGUUUUGAAACAUUUUGGGUAAAAGAUUUUAUUUUAUAAUAAACAAUGACACUGGCUAGUUGAGGUGCCCUGCAGAUUUCACAUCAUCAAUAUUUUGUGUGAUUUUGACUUAAUGUGCUUUGAAUAUUCUAAAUCCUCUUACUCCUAAUUCCUAGUAAUCUUCCCAUUUAAUGUAGUAUUUAAUGUUUUUGUUUUCAAAUGCAUUGAUUGUUUUUCAUUUAAAAGCAAUGGAAAAUAUUAUAAUGAGACUCGGUGAAAUUGAUUCUAUUGCGCAUGAUGAGUUUUAGUGUUCCCCCUAUUGGUUGUAUCUCGCAAUGCUUCUAAUAUAGUAUCCCAAACCUCUGACAAAGAAACUGUGCAAAUUCUUUGAAUUCUAUAUGUUUUCUGCUAUAAGCCAUAUUUUAAUGGUAUUCCAUGAGUUUUCUUCCUUAAAGUUUAAACCCUCUGAUGAAGCAUAUAUUUGACCAAAUAUUAAUCAUGUUAUCUUGAUAUGAAAUAUGAUUAUGAAAUUUAUGUCUAGCUAAUUAUCACAUUGAGCUUCAAAUCCUUUAUUUUUGAUUUUAUUUUGAUUGUAUGUGUCUUAAGCCCUCUUUUGAUCCCUAUGAUAUUUAUGUAGAUUGGAAAAUAGCCUGUUGAACCAGUUACCUGCUGUGAUCGAAGAUCCUUCGAUUUUUGUAGUUUGUUGUUUAUAAAUUGGUGCUUCCAACAUUAUCUUUUUUAGUUCCAAAUGCUUUAUUUUCCAUUUUAUUUUGAUUGUCUGUCUUAAGAAUUUUUUUAUCUAACUCUGUUCCUCUCUACAG
rnacentral:lncRNA from 1 species